rnacentral:lncRNA from 1 species
UUCAAGAGCUCAGGAAGGGGAAAUCGUCCUGGCUCAAUGUAUCCUUCAGACGCUGGUUCCUGCUGUGCGAAUUGUCUUCUGCAAGGAUGGGAUGGAGUUUUACAGCAUGAAAGCCCAUCAGCAUACGGUCAUCUACUCCAAGCUGCUGAACAUCUCUGCAAGAAGCCGUGGGACAUACGCGUGUGGGUACCAGCAGAGGAAGGAGGAAAAGUCGCUGGAAAUGUCUACCCUCAGUGCUCCCUUGGACCUGCAGGUCACAGGUGGGACUUGACACCAGGGUGGUGGGGACAUAGGGGAUGGGGAGUAAUUAACACCACAUGGAUAUCCCAUGUGCAGCAAGAGAUGCCAAUAGAGAGAGGAUGGCUCUGGAAAGGUUCCUGUCUCAAUCUUAUGCUGCAGAAAUGGGGCUCUGCAGUACAUGAAGGUACAUAAAGCAGGUACAUAAAGCAGGCACAGGGUUUGGGCGUGGUCCCUUUCCUGGGUAAGGAUGCUCCUAGGGUUAUUCCAAAAAUGUUUCGAGAAUGCGGAAGGGAAACUGGGAUGAUUUCCAGGUGUGAGGUUGCUCCUUUUUGUUUGAUUUCCGAGGCUGCAACGAGAUGAUGCUGUGGCCAUAGUGUGAGGAUGGGCAUAUGUUGGUGUGCUUAGUAUUUGUGUUGCCUCUUCUUGCAUCAAAGCUACCAAAAAGAGCCUUUGGAUGGUGGCAGGAGGGGAAAUGCAGGAUGGAGUCUUGCAAGUGGGACGCUGCCAUCCCAUCCCAUAGAGGCAGAGCAACAUACUAGUCCUUUCUUUAUCCCCAAGGUCAAAGAAAGGAGAGUUGUGCUGCAGUAUCAUACGGUGCACAGUUGCAUUUAUGCCAUGCAUUUCUAAAUUCAUCAUAGUUUAGAUAAUUGAUCAUCAGAAUGGCAGAAACCCCAUGUCAGCCCACGUGUCUCAGGGGACAGAGCUGGCUCUGUGGGCAUCUUCCAAGGCCUACAUACCCUGCCCCGUACCAGUGCAUUCAGAAAAUCUGACCAUGCAGAGCUAUGAGCACUGGUGACACUCCGCCCAUCCAUAUGUCUGUCCAGGUCAUGUGUCCGAUUCCUCAGCAGGAACCAUAACUGCAGGUGAGGGACUCUCCUUUGCUCCUACUGACCCCAUCCCUUCACCUUUUCCCUAUCCCUCUCCUCUUUUCCCAUCUCAUCUCUAUGGCGCUGUAACACCCCAACUUCUGCGUCACUCCCAUCUGACCCCAUCAACCUCUGUGUCCCCAGACACCAACACUC